AUAAUGAUAAGGAUCCUUUGUUUUCUUAAAACACAUACUCGUCUCAAACUUUCCCUUUCCUCAAAUCUCAACGCCGCAACUAUCUGACCUAAUCUCAGCGCCACAACUAUCUGAUCUAAUAUCAACGCCGCAAUUAUCUGAUCUAAUCUCAACGUUGAUUGUAGAUUUUCAUAGCAGCUCUGCCCUAAAUCGAAUCUGGUGUCUUCUUCCUUUCGUCAUUGCUUCUCAGCUGGAAAAGGAAUUCUAUUGCAGAUCUACUCGAAAAAUAAUUCCAGCUUUUAUUGAUGCUUUUGGAUAACACUUGAUGAAGAUUGAAACAUUAAAUUUUAUGCCCAACUUUUGUUCAUUCUUUAGUCAAGAAACAAGUUUUGAAAAGAUGCACAAGCUCAUUAUUAGUUUGCUACGAAUGUUAUGCAAAACUUCAUAUCAUAGUCUAGCUCGGAUGUUAGCUACAUUUUAUUGUCAAGCAAAUAUUACUGAAACUAUGAUCAUGGGAUGUGAACCUAUUAAUUAAUCAUACUCUUUAUAUCUA